CGCUAGGGCAAGGAAGCCUGGUCUCUCAGAAGCCACUCAGGCUUAUCAAGGGGCAUGAACCCAGAAGUAUUUCGAACUUCCUAUGAUUCUGAAGCAAACUCUCCUUGACUACAGCCACUCUUGGGAACAGGGAACCUUGUGGGAGAAAGGUAUCACAAUGAACUAAACCAGGGCUGAGGCAGGGGUGGUCUGACUAUAGCUAAGUUUGACCCAUGGCUCCAUUCUGCCCAACCCCAGGUCCAGUACUAGGGCUUUCUAGAGGACAAAGCCCAAUCUGAGUAUGAAGCACCUGCAUUGUAACAAUGGAGGCAAAUACCACACAUCUGCCCAGUGCUGCAGAUUUAGGCAUCUGGGAUUUCUGACAGGUGCUGAUUAUUUCUCACAUGGACCGCUAAAAUAAUUUAAUCCCUCCAUCAUGCCGCAGAAUUCUUGCCCUCAGAACUCAAUGAGGUGAACUUCAUGCCCUUGUCAGACACCUGCGAAGGCUCACGGUUUAAACAGCAGAAAAGUUGGUGUGGUCACGCACACCUGUAAUCCCAGCAUUCAGAAGCCCGAGGCAGGAGGAUCACUGUGAGUUCGAGGCCAGCCUGGGCUACAAAGUGAGCUCAAGGCCAGCCUGAACUGCAUAGUGAGACCUUGUCUCAAAAAGACAAAGAAAAAAAGCAAAUCCAUAUCCCUAAGCAUCAAAUAGAAGACAGAAGAACCAAAAGUGUAAUUUUUUAACAGAUUUGAAAGAACUUUACUGUUUAUAUCACCUUAUAAGGAAAGAAAAUUAUGUGUAAUAAAUUCUAUGAGCAAAAUUAACAUUUGGUAACAUCAUAGAUGAAAACCAUUGGUUUUUAUUUCAUAAAUAAUUAAGAAUGGAGCCAACCUACUCAGGAGGUUGAGGUGAGAAGAUCAUUUGAGUCCAGGAGUUAGAGUCCAGCCUGGAUCAUACUGAGACCCUCAAAAAAAAAAAGAAAAUAAUAGAAAAAAAAAUUCUUUGAUGCAAGUAUUUCUUUAAAUACUGAAGAACAGUUAGGAAAAAUUGCUUGGCCAUGGUGUCCACUCCAAGCAAGAAGCCAAUCUACGUAGACCUGGGUCUCCAAAGUGAUGGGAUUAUCUCUACAUAACCCUUCCUGGUUUAUAUUCCUUUUGGAAGAACUAAAGUGGAGGCACUGAUCUGAAGAAAGGUAAAUCU
rnacentral:lncRNA from 1 species